rnacentral:rRNA from 1 species
GUCUACGGUCAUACUACGUUGAAAACACCGGUUCUCGUCCGAUCACCGAAUUUAAGCAACGUCGGGCCCGGUUAGUACUUGGAUGGGUGACCGCCUGGGAAUACUGGGUGCUGUAGACU